UACAGGGGGUGCAAACGUUGCUCGGAAUUAUUGGGCGUAAAGCGCGCGUAGGCGGCUACUUAAGUCGGAUGUGAAAGCCCCUGGCUCAACUGGGGAAGUGCACCCGAAACUGCUUGACUUGAGUCCCGGAGAGGAAGGCGGAAUGCUUGGUGUAGAGGUGAAAUUCGUAGAUAUCAAGCGGAACACCGGUGGCGAAGGCGGCCUUCUGGACGAGGACUGACGCUGAGACGCGAAAGCGUGGGGAGCAAACAGG
rnacentral:rRNA from 1 species